rnacentral:rRNA from 1 species
AGCGAACGCUGGCGGCAGGCCUAACACAUGCAAGUCGAACGAACUCUUCGGAGUUAGUGGCGGACGGGUGAGUAACACGUGGGAACGUGCCUUUAGGUUCGGAAUAACUCAGGGAAACUUGUGCUAAUACCGAAUGUGCCCUUCGGGGGAAAGAUUUAUCGCCUUUAGAGCGGCCCGCGUCUGAUUAGCUAGUUGGUGAGGUAAAGGCUCACCAAGGCGACGAUCAGUAGCUGGUCUGAGAGGAUGAUCAGCCACAUUGGGACUGAGACACGGCCCAAACUCCUACGGGAGGCAGCAGUGGGGAAUAUUGCGCAAGGGGCGAAAGCCUGACGCAGCCAUGCCGCGUGAAUGAUGAAGGUCUUAGGAUUGUAAAAUUCUUUCACCGGGGACGAUAAUGACGGUACCCGGAGAAGAAGCCCCGGCUAACUUCGUG